rnacentral:rRNA from 1 species
GGGGAUGACGUCAAGUCCUCAUCGGCCUUUAUGACCAGGGCUACACACGUACUACAAUGGCCGAUACAAAGGGCAGCGACACUGCGAGGUGAAGCCAAUCCCGUAAAAUCGGUCUCAGUCCGGAUUGGAGUCUGCAACUCGACUCCAUGAAGUUGGAAUCGCUAGUAAUCGUGGAUCAGCAUGCCGGGGUGAAUACGUUCCCGGGCCUU